UACGGGGGGGGCAAGCGUUGUUCGGAAUUACUGGGCGUAAAGGGCUCGUAGGCGGCCAACUAAGUCGGAUGUGAAAUCCCCAGGCUUAACCUGGGAACUGCGUCCGAUACUGGAUGGCUUGAAUCCGGGAGAGGGAUGCGGAAUUCCAGGUGUAGCGGUGAAAUGCGUAGAUAUCUGGAGGAACACCGGUGGCGAAGGCGGCAUCCUGGACCGGCAUUGACGCUGAGGAGCGAAAGCCAGGGGAGCAAACGGG
rnacentral:rRNA from 1 species